UAGGGGGCAAGCGUUAUCCGGAUUCACUGGGCGUAAAGGGAGCGCAGGCGGCACGGUAAGUCUGAUGUGAAAGCCCGGGGCUCAACCCCGGGACUGCAUUGGAAACUGCCGAGCUUGAGUGUCGGAGGGGCAGGCGGAAUUCCUAGUGUAGCGGUGAAAUGCGUAGAUAUUAGGAGGAACACCAGCGGCGAAGGCGGCCUGCUGGACGACAACUGACGCUGAGGCUCGAAAGCGUGGGGAGCAAA
rnacentral:rRNA from 1 species